UCCAGGUAAUAAGGUCAAGUCCUAAAAUUUU
rnacentral:piRNA from 1 species